GGGGCAAGCGUUGUUCGGAAUCACUGGGCGUAAAGGGCGCGUAGGCGGGAUGGCAAGUCAGUCGUGAAAUCUCUCGGCUCAACCGAGAAACGUCGGCUGAUACUGCCGUUCUUGAGGGAUGCAGAGGAGACUGGAAUUCCCGGUGUAGCGGUGAAAUGUGUAGAGAUCGGGAGGAACACCGGUGGCGAAGGCGGGUCUCUGGGCAUUUUCCUGACGCUGAGGCGCGAAAGCGUGGGGAGCAAACGGG
rnacentral:rRNA from 1 species